CCUACGGGAGGCAGCAGUGAGGAAUAUUGGUCAAUGGACGGAAGUCUGAUCCAGCCAUGCCGCGUGCAGGAAGACGGCUCUAUGAGUUGUAAACUGCUUUUGUACAAGGGUAAACCUGAAUACGUGUAUUCAGCUGAAAGUACUGUACGAAUAAGGAUCGGCUAACUCCGUGCCAGCAGCCGCGGUAAUACGGAGGAUCCAAGCGUUAUCCGGAUUUAUUGGGUUUAAAGGGUGCGUAGGCGGAUUGAUAAGUUAGAGGUGAAAUGUCCGAGCUUAACUCGGGAACUGCCGCUAAUACUGUUGAUCGAGAGAGUAGAUGCGGUAGGCGGAAUGUAUGGUGUAGCGGUGAAAUGCUUAGAGAUCAGACAGAACACCGAUUGCGAAGGCAGCUUACCAAUCUAUAUCUGACGUUGAGGCACGAAAGCGUGGGGAGCAAACAGGAUUAGAUACCCGAGUAGUC
rnacentral:rRNA from 1 species